AAAGACAUUAUACUAUGUAUUUAUUGUCUUUUCCUUAUAUUCUGGGUUGGAUUUUAUACCAAGGGUCAUCAAGAAUUCUUAUAUUCAGACUUCUUCCCAAGAAUUAUAAUCUUCUUCCCAGGAAAAUAUGUAUUCUACAAAGAUCCUCGCAUCUUCCUCUAAAAAGCAGAAAUAGGAGAAGAAGCCGUGACUUACUUUGAGGUGCGAGUUUCUUCUUCAUCCCAGCUGCAGAGAAGGGCACCAGUCUACGCUGAAACCAAAGUGAUCAUGUGUUCUGAACAUCGAGAAACAGAGCCAUGUUCAGGAAAUCUCACUUCCAGUCAAGAAACAGAUCAGAAGGAAUUGAUUUCAGGAAAUUCAGCGAUUUCCCCACUACUGACAAAAGUUCAU